CUGAUAAUUAAUAAAAAUCGAGUAGCGCGUUUAAUGGUAAAUAUUCAGUAUUAAAAAAUAAUAUUCCCAAUAACAAGCCCCAGACUUACCUUAUCAUCGGAGCCCCAAUGGCCUAGCCGCGCCACUGAUAAUAGGUAUUAAUGAUAAACACGCAUGCACAAAUAAUGCAGUUUACAGUGUACAUACAGUUAUAUGAAUUAAAUAUACCGGGAAAAAAAAUUGCCAGUGAAAACACCGUCCCAGUACUGUAUUACCUGAUUGAUAAACCGACGACGAAAUAAC